AACGAACGCUGGCGGCAUGCCUAACACAUGCAAGUCGAACGAAAACUUCGGGUCUAGUGGCGCACGGGUGCGUAACGCGUGGGAACCUGCCCUUAGGGUCGGAAUAACUCCCCGACAGGGGUGCUAAUACCGGAUAAUGUCUUCGGACCAAAGAUUUAUCGCCUUUGGAUGGGCCCGCGUGGGAUUAGGUAGUUGGUAGGGUAAAAGCCUCACAAGGGGACGAUCAAUAACUUGUCUGAGAGGAUGAUCAGCCACACUGGGACUGAGACACGGCCCAGACUCCUACGGGAGGCAGCAGUGGGGAAUAUUGGACAAUGGGCGAAAGCCUGAUCCAGCAAUGCCGCGUGAGUGAUGAAGGCCUUAGGGUUGUAAAGCUCUUUUACCCGGGAUGAUAAUGACAGUACCGGGAGAAUAAGCUCCGGCUAACUCCGUG
rnacentral:rRNA from 1 species